UCUGUUGCCCAGGCUGGAGUCCAGUGGCAUGAUAGCUAAUUGCAGCCUCGACCUCCUGAGCUCAAGCCAUCCUCCUGCCUCAGCAUCCAGAGUAGCUGGAACCACAGAGAUGGGGUUUCACCACAUUGGUCAGACUGGUCUCGAACUCCUGACCUCAGGCGAUCCACCCACCUCAGCCUCCCAAAGUGCUGGGAUUACAGGCAUGAGCCACCGCACCUGGCCCAACCAGCUUUGAACCAGCAGCAAGAGCAAAAACUGGGAAUGAGAACAAACAGGUACCAGUCCGGACACCUGAACCAACUUGGAGCUCAGGAACCCAGGAGGGGAUUGGGGCUAGUGGUGAGACUCCGUGGUCCACAAUGAGUGCUCCGUCCCCAUCCAAAAAUAUCCCCUAGCCCAGUUUUUGGGCAGAUGCCAGACUUUUAUUCUGAAGCGUGGGCCACAACCUAUGAGGUAAUCUUUGGAGCUUCGUUCUGAGGUGGAAUCCCAUUGGCCGGUUGGGGAAGCCCCUCCUAGGAUUCCUGGCACCCCGCCUUCCCCAAAGCCCAUAAAAGAGCAGGUCCCCGCCUCAGCAGCCACCGGACACCUGCAUCUGCCAAGAAGACUGGAAGCAGAAAGGGACAGACAUAGCAAAGUUGGACGGUCUGGAAAGCAGAGACCAGCGAGGUUGACUGCUUGGGAGGUAAGUUCUGGGGAUGUGUUACAGGGUGAGGAGCAGACAUCAGUGCUAAUUGCGACCCCUCCGUGUCUCCCCAUUGCGAUUCUGAAGCUCCCCAGGAAGAAGCCAGGAGGGGAAAUAAAUUGAGUGGGGGUGGGGUUUCCCAAGGAUCGAAGGAACCGAGAACGAAGAGGGGUGGGGGAACCGGGAAAGAGAGAGAGGAAAAUCAAGUUUU